UGAGUAGUUUGGGCAAGUGUGCGUGUGUGUUGGCAUGAGUGAAGUGACAGCCAGAGGUUGUGGGUUUUUACACUGAUCAAAAUGAGAGGGAACAUCCAUGCCCUCUGGAGCUGUAAAGGGUGAGGUGAGAAGUCAGCAGUCAGGGGAGACGGGGGAUUGGGAUAGGAAGAUUUCACAAAACAAACAGGAUUCUCUGGGAGCUGAGAGAAAGGCUCUGGGCUCAGUGCUCUCGUCUCUCAACAUCCCAGCAGGGCUAUCUGUAAGAGUGGAGCGUCUGUGACCAUCCAGUGCCAUCCAGGGACACUUCAAGCCACAACUGUGUAUUGGUAUCAUCAGUUCCCAAAACAGGGCCUCGUGCUGAUAGCCACUUCUAAUGCGGGCUCUGAUGCCACAUAUGAACAAGGUUAUACCAAGGCCAAGUACCCCAUCAGCCACUCAAGCCUCACAUUUUCAUCUCUGAUGGUGACAAAUAUGCAUCCUGCCGACAGCAGCCUCUACUUCUGUGGUGUCAGAGACACAGCGCUGGGCAGAGAUCAGAGACCAAAACAAGAACCUUUGUAACAGCUCCCACCCCCCACCCCACCAAAGCCAUGGAGCCCCGUGGAAGGAGGUGUGGAGAGAGAAAAACCACAGCCUCUCUGACUGAGUCAGCUGUGAUCGUGUGUAUGCAGAAAGAGAGAGAAAAUAUCUGAGUACGGAGCGUGGAGAAAGCAUGGUGUUAGAGAGCUAGCCAUAUGGGAAUGGAGCUGGUCCUAUACAUGGCCAACCAACCUGGAAAGUUCCCUGGGCUGAAAAUUAUAAAACCUGGAUUUUUCUUCUGACUCUGCCAUAUGUUAAUCAUAUCUUCUUAGAUAAAUCAACACAUAAUCCUAUAGGCACAUCUCAAAAUGCUUCUAUAAUG